UUCAGAUCCAUAAAUGAAGUGGCCUGCGAUGUUCCGAACAGAGAGCUGGUGAUUGCUCACUUCAACAAAGAGAAUACGGAACAGAUACUUAUGGCAAAAAGUUAGCACAGAGUGGAUUUCAGAAGAUGUCUGUAUGCCAGCUGUAGUCUUGGAGAAUCACCAUGACUGCUUCAAGGGGGUAAGAACAAAUUUAUAUUGUGAAGAUGAUCUAUAAAUCACAAUUUCCACUCCUUUAUAAUAGGGUAAGUCUUACACUCUAACUUGCUGUGAGUUAAAUAUGCAAUGAUUUCCAUGACACUGGUUUUCAGUUAGUCACACAGAGAGAUAGUCUAUGCAUAUUCGUUAAUCUGUUACCUUGUAGAAUGCAAGACAUAUAGGUUCAUACACACAAGUAUAGCACAUGUGUGUUAACAGAGUGAUUUAUUGUAGAUGAGAUGCAUGUAGAGAGAUGGGAAAGUAGUUAGCUUUACCUGGCCACCAUUACCAUUUCGGAGUAAUGCUUCAAGAGGCUGGACACUGAGGUAUGGAG
rnacentral:lncRNA from 1 species